UUGAAGCAAACAUCAUUUGAAACUUCUUUUUCUAGUUCUACUGACUGGUGGGAGUGAGGCGUGUGAAGGGGAGAAGACAGUAAUUCAAUUCACCUCCAGAUCAGUGGAAUUUAAAACGCCUUCAGCAAACAACUAGACCAGAAAGAAUUCAGUUACAACAUUAUUCACUGCCACCACCAGCUGGGGUCCUUCAACUUGACAUCCUGACACCCCUUCAGGACUUGCAUGGGAGAUAAAGAUAAGCCGGUUCACUCAGUCUUGCAGGUGCAAAUGUUUCAACGCGGCCCCUAACUACUCCAUCCCAAAGGCCAGAUUAGAAGGCGGAAAAAACAAACUCGGGAUGACAUGUUUGCCAAGCUCAUGCAGUCCUCCCGCACUGAUAGGGCCCAGCUGAAUGCAUGGAGGCAAACAACUGCGGAGUCCCAUAAAGCAUUACAUGAACACAAAGAGAGGAGGGAUGUGCGUGAUGAGAGCAGGUAGCACCCUAUGGUCAAGCUCAUGGGGGAGCAAACUGACAUGCUGCGCUGUAUGGUGGAUCUAAUGCAGGAAAGGCAGCAAGA